rnacentral:lncRNA from 1 species
CUGGGGCGAGCGCUGGGGGCUUUUCCUGCAGUGCAUUAGCAGCAUGUCAUAAUGGAAAGUGGCUGGAUUUCUUUCCAGUUGUAAUCAAUGGUUAAGAUUUAACCUAGCAACAUUGUAGGGGUACACAGCCAAAUGAUUCAGGAAAAAAGAUGCAGGUUGAGUCUGGAGGAAUCCCUGUGCCAGCUUCCUCAUGCUCCCUCCCUCUCUCAGAAAUCACAUGGAACCCAUUCUCCCCUCAGCAGUGAAAAUGCAUUCAGCCUGUGUGCAGUGUUUCUGCCCAGGGAAGCCCAGUAGGGCCUCCAUGCCCGGGGUGUUUACUGGGAUCUGGUUAUGUAGACACCACCUGCCUAGCACGCACCAAAAUUCCAGACUUUCAGGAAAACAGGUGCCUGUGCCACAUUAUUUGCACGGAGAGACUGUGUCCAGUGAACGGUUCUGAUCAGUAAACUGUUGACUAGGAACAUCCCGAGAGCCAAGUUCCCAGAUGCCAGCCAAGGGCCAUCUGACCUGUUUUGAAUCUCAAUUUCCUGAUACAGAAAACAAAGGAUUGUCAGCUGACCUCUGUCCUGUGUGCCCAGUGGCCCCAGGUGACGUGUCUUCAAGAAGAGGCUGAGCUGCGGUGCUUGUAAGAGUCAUGUGCUGUUCCUGGGGCUUGGAUGAUGUAGGGGAAGCAAGGUGAAAGUGGUAUCCCGUGGUUCCACGUUCUGUCCUGCUGUGGGGCUGUCCCUCACAUGCUUUCAGUGGCUGUUGCAGAGGAAGAGCCUCCGGAAAUCUGCGUGGGUAAAGUCUCAGCCUUAGAUCCAAGGACAGUCCAAGGAAGUCCUAAGACCAUGGAGUUGGUGAUCUGGGAUCUGGGUUUGCUGAUAUUUCUCACCGUGAAUCUCUUGGUGGUGUUUGUGGGCACGAGAGGGGCAGAGAAUGGAGAGUGAGGCUACCACAUGAAGCGUCACCAGAGCUGCUCCCUGCUGCCUGCUCAGAGCACCCCGGAUCCACUGUUCAAUCUGCACAAGAUUCGGGGUCCAGACAUGGGAGACUUCAGCUGCCUCAGAGGACCGUGGACAGGGAAGGCCAGCCUCGCAUCCCUCUGUCCAUGCCUGGAAUGACUUUAAUAACCAAGAGUUUUAUUUUUGAAUUUGUAGCUGUCGUUCACUUUUUACCCACCCAUUCAAUAAACCUUACAGAAUUGCUCCA